rnacentral:rRNA from 1 species
AUUGAACGCUGGCGGCAGGCUUAACACAUGCAAGUCGAGCGGAGAUGAAGUGCUUGCACCUUAUCUUAGCGGCGGACGGGUGAGUAAUGCUUAGGAAUCUGCCUAUUAGUGGGGGGCAACAUUCCGAAAGGAAUGCUAAUACCGCAUACGUCCUACGGGAGAAAGCAGGGGAUCUUCGGACCUUGCGCUAAUAGAUGAGCCUAAGUCGGAUUAGCUAGUUGGUGGGGUAAAGGCCUACCAAGGCGACGAUCUGUAGCGGGUCUGAGAGGAUGAUCCGCCACACUGGGACUUAGACACGGCACAGGCUCCUACGGGAGGCAGCAGUGGGGAAUAUUGGACCAUGGGGGGAACCCUGAUCUAGCCAUGCCGCGUGUGUGAAGAAGGCCUUAUGGUUGUAAAGCACUUUAAGCGAGGAGGAGGCUACUGAGACUAAUACUCUUGGAUAGUGGACGUUACUCGCAGAAUAAGCACCGGCUAACUCUGUGCCAGCCGCCGCCGUAA